AAAGUCGUAACAAGGUCUCCGUAGGUGAACCUGCGGAGGGAUCAUUAACACGUUAUUAAAACAACGUUUCCAUACUAACCACGUGAACAAAUUGAAAACAAUUAAAAUGACCUGUGCAAGUGUUUAUUCAUUUGUAUCAGGCAAUUCUAAAAUCCAUUUCAUUAUGGGUUUUUAGAACAACCACUUUCACCACUUAAUUCAAUUGACUGACAGUUUAGAUAAAGAUUCUUCUGAAUCUUUUGAUAAUAAAUUAAUCAAAAAUAUCUAAAGCACAACUCUUAGCAAUGGAUAUCUUGGUUCUC
rnacentral:misc_RNA from 1 species